rnacentral:rRNA from 1 species
GCAAACCGGGAGAACUGAAACAUCUAAGUACCCCGAGGAAAAGAAAUCAACCGAGAUUUUGUAAGUAGCGGCGAGCGAAAGCGAAAGAGCCAGUGAGUGAUAGCAGCAAAGACAGAAGAAUUGGCUGGGAAGCCAAGCGACACAGGGUGAUAGCCCCGUAUUCGAAGUUUUUGUUGUGGUACUAAGCUUGCAACAAGUAGGGCGGGACACGAGAAAUCCUGUUUGAAGAUGGGGGGACCAUCCUCCAAGGCUAAAUACUCCUGAUUGACCGAUAGUGAACCAGUACUGUGAAGGAAAGGCGAAAAGAACCCCAGUGAGGGGAGUGAAAUAGAACCUGAAACCGUGUACGUACAAGCAGUGGGAGCCCUUUGGGGUGACUGCGUACCUUUUGUAUAAUGGGUCAGCGACUUAUAUUUUGUAGCGAGGUUAACUGAAUAAGGGAGCCGAAGGGAAACCGAGUCUUAACUGGGCGGAUAGUUGCAAGGUAUAGACCCGAAACCCGGUGAUCUAGCCAUGGGCAGGUUGAAGGUUGGGUAACACUAACUGGAGGACCGAACCGACUAAUGUUGAAAAAUUAGCGGAUGACUUGUGGCUGGGGGUGAAAGGCCAAUCAAACCGGGAGAUAGCUGGUUCUCCCCGAAAUCUAUUUAGGUAGAGCCUUAUGUGAAUACCUUCGGGGGUAGAGCACUGUUUCGGCUAGGGGUCCAUCCCGGAUUACCAACCCGAUGCAAACUGCGAAUACCGAAGAGUAAUGCAUAGGAGACACACGGUGGGUGCUAACGUCCAUCGUGGAGAGGGAAACAACCCAGACCGCCAGCUAAGGUCCCAAAGUCUAUAUUAAGUGGGAAACGAAGUGGGAAGGCUUAGACAGCUAGGAUGUUGGCUUAGAAGCAGCCAUCAUUUAAAGAAAGCGUAAUAGCUCACUAGUCGAGUCGGCCUGCGCGGAAGAUGUAACGGGGCUAAAAUAUAGCACCGAAGCUGCGGCAUCAGGCGUAUCACUAAUACGCCUUACGAUUAACAACAUCGAAUGAAGUGAAACGGAAUGAGAUGUUGGUCAAGCAACCCGAACGUUGAGUCGGAAAGUAAUCGAAGAGAGGAUUAUUAGUGAUACGCCUGUUGGGUAGGGGAGCGUUGUGUAAGCGGAUGAAGGUGAAUCGAGAGGUUUGCUGGACGUAUCACAAGUGCGAAUGCUGACAUAAGUAACGAUAAAACGAGUGAAAAACUCGUUCGCCGGAAGACCAAGGGUUCCUGUCCAACGUUAAUCGGGGCAGGGUGAGUCGGCCCCUAAGGCGAGGCUGAAAAGCGUAGUCGAUGGGAAACGGGUUAAUAUUCCCGUACUUG